AGAGUUUGAUCAUGGCUCAGAUUGAACGCUGGCGGCAGGCCUAACACAUGCAAGUCGAGCGGUAGCACAGAGAGCUUGCUCUCGGGUGACGAGCGGCGGACGGGUGAGUAAUGUCUGGGAAACUGCCUGAUGGAGGGGGAUAACUACUGGAAACGGUAGCUAAUACCGCAUAACGUCGCAAGACCAAAGUGGGGGACCUUCGGGCCUCAUGCCAUCAGAUGUGCCCAGAUGGGAUUAGCUAGUAGGUGGGGUAACGGCUCACCUAGGCGACGAUCCCUAGCUGGUCUGAGAGGAUGACCAGCCACACUGGAACUGAGACACGGUCCAGACUCCUACGGGAGGCAGCAGUGGGGAAUAUUGCACAAUGGGCGCAAGCCUGAUGCAGCCAUGCCGCGUGUGUGAAGAAGGCCUUCGGGUUGUAAAGCACUUUCAGCGGGGAGGAAGGCGUUGAGGUUAAUAACCUUGGCGAUUGACGUUACCCGCAGAAGAAGCACCGGCUAACUCCGUGCCAGCAGCCGCGGUAAUACGGAGGGUGCAAGCGUUAAUCGGAAUUACUGGGCGUAAAGCGCACGCAGGCGGUCUGUCAAGUCGGAUGUGAAAUCCCCGGGCUCAACCUGGGAACUGCAUUCGAAACUGGCAGGCUAGAGUCUUGUAGAGGGGGGUAGAAUUCCAGGUGUAGCGGUGAAAUGCGUAGAGAUCUGGAGGAAUACCGGUGGCGAAGGCGGCCCCCUGGACAAAGACUGACGCUCAGGUGCGAAAGCGUGGGGAGCAAACAGGAUUAGAUACCCUGGUAGUCCACGCCGUAAACGAUGUCGAUUUGGAGGUUGUGCCCUUGAGGCGUGGCUUCCGGAGCUAACGCGUUAAAUCGACCGCCUGGGGAGUACGGCCGCAAGGUUAAAACUCAAAUGAAUUGACGGGGGCCCGCACAAGCGGUGGAGCAUGUGGUUUAAUUCGAUGCAACGCGAAGAACCUUACCUGGUCUUGACAUCCACAGAACUUUGCAGAGAUGGUUUGGUGCCUUCGGGAACUGUGAGACAGGUGCUGCAUGGCUGUCGUCAGCUCGUGUUGUGAAAUGUUGGGUUAAGUCCCGCAACGAGCGCAACCCUUAUCCUUUGUUGCCAGCGGUUCGGCCGGGAACUCAAAGGAGACUGCCAGUGAUAAACUGGAGGAAGGUGGGGAUGACGUCAAGUCAUCAUGGCCCUUACGACCAGGGCUACACACGUGCUACAAUGGCAUAUACAAAGAGAAGCGACCUCGCGAGAGCAAGCGGACCUCAUAAAGUAUGUCGUAGUCCGGAUUGGAGUCUGCAACUCGACUCCAUGAAGUCGGAAUCGCUAGUAAUCGUAGAUCAGAAUGCUACGGUGAAUACGUUCCCGGGCCUUGUACACACCGCCCGUCACACCAUGGGAGUGGGUUGCAAAAGAAGUAGGUAGCUUAACCUUCGGGAGGGCGCUUACCACUUUGUGAUUCAUGACUGGGGUGAAGUCGUAACAAGGUAACCGUAGGGGAACCUGCGGUUGGAUCACCU
rnacentral:rRNA from 1 species